CUUCUUGAAUAGAUUGGAGGUCGGGCCUGCCCACUGAAUAAUUAAAGGGCCGCGGUAUUUUGACCGUGCAAAGGUAGCAUAAUCAUUAGUUUUUUAAUUGUGAACUGGAAUGAAUGGUUUGACGAAAUGAUAACUGUCUCUUAAAUAAUUGAAUUGAAUUUUACUUUUAAGUUAAAAGGCUUAAAUAUUGAUAAGGGACGAGAAGACCCUAUAGAUCUUUAUAUUUUAAUUUAUAUUUUAUAUUGUGGAUAGUAUUGAUAUUUUUAUUUUAUAGGUUAAUAUUAUUUGGUUGGGGUGACAUGAGAAUAUAUUAACUUCUUAAUAUUUUGACUUUAAUUGGUGAUUAAAUGAUCUUUUAGUAUGGAAUUAAGAUUAAGAUACCUUAGGGAUAACAGCGUAAUUUUGUUGGAAAGUUCUUAUUGAUAAUAAAGAUUGCGACCUCGAUGUUGGAUUAAGAGUAUAUAUUGGUGUAGGUGUUMA
rnacentral:rRNA from 1 species